UAGGCGUUCUCCUCUUCGCGUUGUGCGGACAACAGUGUGAAAGACCGCGGCACGCUCGCCAGUACUUCCUGUGUAGCCGCAGAAGUCUGCAGUACCGAUUCCUUCCCGCGCAUCUCCUAUUUAAAUUUUAUACCUUGCCCUUUCAUUGCUGUAAAAUCGGAUGAGAUGAGCUCGGUCGACGGUAGGCGACGCGGUACUGCAGUCCGGAUGCUGGUCAAUUCGAUCGUUUCAUUUACUCAUUGAUCGGGCGUGAUUGGCUGAUUUGCCCGGAGGCUUCGCAAGAUAUUUCAACCAAAUUCAAUCAGCUGUAAAACUCACUCCUACUUGCCCUAUAGAGAGUAGGUUCAAUCCGGGAUUCGUCAAAGGCACGAAGAUGGUGCGAGAAAUUGGGAAAGAUUCAUCAACGUUUCCUGGGAACGGUUGACGCCUCGCAGCGCCGACUGGCUCGCUUCGAUUCCUCCGUAAUGAAAUGACGUAAAUGUGCAAAUAGACCGACUCUUUGUGGAUGAGAAAUUGUGCAGUGUUCGAUUUUCGCAUAUCGGAUAAACCUAAAAAAAAAAAAAAAAUAAUAGAAGGGAAAAAACGAAUCGUCUCACAGUCCACAUCGUCGGAAAUCGCAUCAAGCCUGCACGUUGCGCAUCGACAGUUCUCCAUUAUUGCCACUAGCAGGACGAGGGUGAGAGGAAAGGGGAUACGGACCGCAGUUUAAUUUGACGUGAGAAGUGA